CAUCGGUCAACUAGCACCCGUCUUUGUAAUGGAAAAAAACAACGUCAGUGGCUAGAAAAGAACAGACGUUAUAAAUAAGGAUUCAACGACGCACAGUAUAAAGAACCUGUCGUUGUUGUGAUCCAUUUCAACGACGGGUAUGCCAAAACACAUUGUUGUUUUGUCCCAUUUCAACGUCGGGUAGCCUAACACACGUCGUUGUAUGCUUCCAUUUCAACGUCGGGUUAGAAAGGUCCGACG
rnacentral:pre_miRNA from 1 species